GUGUGCCUGUGUGUGUCCAUGUGUGAGUGUGGCGGUCAGAGACAACUCGGGGGAGUUGGCUUUGUCCUACCAGGUGCAUUCUGGGAUCAAACUCAAGGGUGUCAGGUGCCAUUAUGUACUGAGCCAUCUUACGGCUCUGUCUUAUUUCUUGAUACAGGGUUUCUCUCUGAACUUCCACCUUGUUGUUUUGGCUAAACUGGCUAUGCAGAGAGCUCUGGGGAUCAACCUGUCUCCGUCUCCCUCUGCUUGGAGUUUGCAGGCAUGCACCACCACAGCUGGCUUUUAUAUGGGUUCUGGGGGCCCUCAUGCUGCUACGGGCAAGCACUCUACCCACUGAGCUAUUCUCUCCCUCAGUUCAGGUUCAGGAUGUUUUUACUCGUCGAUGUAUUUUAGUACGUCUCUGUAUAAAGUAGGGCAAUCCCCACCCCCACCAAUUUACCAUCUAGCAUGAGUCUUGGGAAAUUUGGGAUGGAUAUCAUUAUUGUUUUUUAAUGUCAACUCAAGAGAAAGAGUUUAAAUUUGCCACAUGGAGUCAUUGACAUGUAACGGGGCUGAGGGUCUUGAGUAAGGAUUAGUUGGUGAACUUGCCUUUGAUUUUGGUGAAAACCUUGAUGUUCUGGGAUCUCUGGGCUUUAGAUGAGUGGCCAAUAGCCUACUUUGGAAAACCAUUUGUGCUGGAACAUGAACUUGGCUUCUUUGAGUGCAGGAAUUCUGCUGCUUAGCAGACCACAGUUGACUUUGUUUUUAGGUUGCCUUGGUGUAACAAAGUGUCCCUUAUCCCUUUGGAGUGGCCCCUGCCAGCCGUCACCUGCCAAGUGGUUCCCGUCUGGGUCAGUGUUCUGAGCUAGGAAAUGAGGUCUGAGCAGCGGUUUACUCGCCUACCAGCCAUGCCUCGCUCUGUACCUUGGGACACUGGGAAGCCAAGGACUCGGCCUAGUUCACUGUUUAUUUAUUAAUUUUCCACUUGAAAGUGCAUAUUAAAUGGUUUUUGACUGUUUCCUGUUGCUCGAGACUCUGCCGUGGAGUUUAAUGCACACUGGAGAGACAGACCCUGCUCCUCUUAAGCUUAUUGUACCAAAGCAAAGGAAAACAAGUUAGCUCAGGAACUGUCAGGCCUCCAGGGGUCACAUGAUCUUGACUGGUCUGGACCGGUGGCUGGAGGGAGGCUCUGGUCUGAGAAAGGACCUCUGUCACCACGGGAAUGAAGACCAAUUCCUGGAGCUGGUGGAGGCAGGAAGGAGGCAGCUCCCGAGGCUCCUGGACCCCAGACUUUAAGCGCUGCCAUUGAAUAAUUCCCUCCCUGUUUAGGAAGUGCCUGGCUUGGGACAACAUAGUGGGAAUACAUAUUAGUACAUUUCCUUUAAUCUUGACCAAGAAGAAAUUAGAGAAUUCUGGAAAUUUAUGAAAUUUCUUCUGGAUUCUUUCAUCUGUAUAACUGGCAUGGAAGCAGACGUGUGACAGAUAGACUGUUUAUCUUCCAGCCACAGCUGGUUGAUCAGGGACUUUUCAUACUCCGUUCCCAGGACGUCAGAAUUAGAUCAAGAAAGUAGCCUGGUUUCUUGUCUGAUAGUGGAAGCAGGGGACAGUAGGGACGAGUUCCUGGGGGCAUGCACUCGGAUUUAGCAUGAACAGCAGAGACAGGAGCACAUGGGCUAAAUCAGAGGGAUAGGGUAUUUUCUGGGACCCCCCUAGGAACUCCAGGCUCCUCUAGAUCCUCCUAGAAUCCGCUAUCUUGCUGGAAAAUUAAAAAUUACACACGAGGCCCGCAAGGUCUUCUCUGGGUAGCCUUGUGCCUACUGGAUUCUGUGUUCACAGUGAAUCCCGGCUCCUCCCCGCCCCUCCAGCGCUCCAAUCGGGCUCCUCAGGUUUCGGCCCUGUGUGGACUGCUCACCCAUGGCAUCUGCUUGCCUCUUUGCCUCCAUUUCCUGGGACUCCUCGCCAGGCUCCUCACGCUCCACCAGCUGGAAGUGACGGUUGUCUUCCGGGUGCUGCCCCUUCACCCUGCCCGGCUUGGGGACUCGGGUUCUUACUGAACCGUUUUUCAAUGGGCAGUGCGAGUCCUGUGGCCCAUCCAGAAAGCGUCACCUUGUUUUAGUACCUAGAAUGCAUUGAGGAGAUUGGAGUGACUCUGCACAACAGGGCGUGUGUUUCCUGCCCUGGACAGCGGACCAUUUCGUAAGAUGUCUUCAGCCUUUCCUAUCUCUGGCAUCCCCUCAACCCCGUGCACCUUGUGGAUGGUGUCUCAUUUCUGUGCUUUCAACACCAAGACUGACAUCUUCCUGAAGAGACGCUGAGUACCUGGCAGGAUGUGCAUGGCCAGGUGUCUCUGGCGUCCCUGCACCGACCGCUGCUUUCGCCUGCGCCGGUAUUGGAACCCCAUUUAGAUGGAUGAGUCAGUGAGGCCCCCCCCCCCCCCGGGGAAGCGGUGUUCGGUUAGUAUAGAUCUUCCUCCUGCUGCUGGAAACAGAGGUUCCCCUGGGAUUCUGUCUGGAAAUCUUACUGGAUUGGCAAGACCUAAGUUAAUACAGACGCCCCCCUCCAAAGACGGCGAAGGCUCCCGCACUGGGCCUUGAGAUGUUUUUAGACGUCUGUCCCAGGAGUCUUGCUGAUAAGGAAGUUUAAGGGAAACUGAAGCAGGGAAGUCUGUUUUCUCCAUAGUCCUCCACCCAUGUCCUGUCCCCAGAGUGCCCUUUCAUCUCUUCUCCCCCUUUCUCGCCUUCCUCUCCCACCCAUGUGCACAUUACCUUGGGCCCUGUUUCAAAACAAAUUAAUGACUAAUGACAGAAGUUGCCAAGUGAUCCCCUUAAUGGAAAAGUUUUAUUCUCCCCCCCUCCUCUCCUGCUUUGUUUCCUAUAAUAUAAGUAAAUAGUUUCAUGACAAAGUACUCCUUCCCCAGUCAAGUGCAAAGCCUUCAUACUCACCUAAAAGUCCUCUUGGCUAUUGGCUGUGGACCAGCAUCUCACGGGGACAAAGUAUGGAACGAGGAUCAGGCUCAGGUCUGAGUCCGUGUCAGUCACUUUCUCAAUGAUGUGGCAUAAUACCCGACAGAUGCAUCAUGGAGAAGGAAGGGUUUAUUUUGGGUCACAGUUGUAGGGCACAGUUCGUCAUGGGAGGAACAUUCUCCAGAGUGGAGUGCUGAUACCUAGCUCUCUGCUCUUUUAAAUUCAGUCCAUGAGGAUGAUGCCACUCAAAUCUCGCCUGAGUCUCUGCACCUCCGCUCCCCUCCCAGACACGCCCAGAGCUUUGUUUCCUAGGUGAUUCUAUUCUGUAACAUUGACAUAAUUACUAGCGCACAGUCCCAGCGUUUGCUUACACUGGACAGAAGACACCAUGCUCCAUAUUCAGACAUUUGUCUGAUGCACAGGGACACUGCCCUCGACCCUGUGUGUGUAUGAAAAAUAGAAGAGGAGCGGGCAUUCUGAGGGUGCUUAUUGACAAACAGCUCCCACCCGGGAGAUGGGUGACUGCCCAGUCUCGGCCGUGAGUCCGAGGAGCACGCCUCAAUCGUAUCUUCAGCCACCCCUGAUGUGGUGCUUCUAAAAUGCUCUUGUAAGAACUGUAGCACACUCCAGUGUCCCCGCUUCUGCAGUGCUGCUUUGCAAAUGCACGUUCCAAGGGAGGAGGGAGACUCUGGAAUCGUCCCCAGGAGUUUUUGUGUUCACUGCAAUGUGCUGUUUGACAUGUGUGCCCUCUGGGAGGUGAAUGGAUCUCUGGGUGUGAGAGUGCUGCAUUAUGGGACCUAAGAGCCACAGGAUGGCCAGCGGUUUGCUGUGGUAAAGCCUGACUGCUCCUCAGGCGCCCAGUCAGCAUGAACAUUUGGCCGUUAGGAUUGUUUAUUGGCAGGAGGGGAAUCUGUCUGCUUUGUCUGGGCAUCAGCCUCCUGCUCUCCAUGGAGGUACUCGUGGGGCUUUAUGGUAACUCAAGGAUACAGAAGAGGCUUUGUUACAUUUUCUUAAGUGUAAAUAAAAUCGAGACUCUGUCUUAAAUUCCAAUAAAUCUAUGUGUUACACAGA